rnacentral:rRNA from 1 species
UACGAAGGGUGCAAGCGUUACUCGGAAUUACUGGGCGUAAAGGGUGCGUAGGUGGUUUGUUAAGUCUGCUGUGAAAUCCCCGGGCUCAACCUGGGAAUGGCAGUGGAUACUGGCAAGCUAGAGUGCGGUAGAGGGUAGUGGAAUUCCCGGUGUAGCAGUGAAAUGCGUAGAGAUCAGGAGGAACACCGGUGGCGAAGGCGGCCUACUGGGCCAGCACUGACGCUGAGGCGCGAAAGCUCGGGGAGCGAACGGG